GCCCUUGACGGAAGUGGCCCCGAGCUCUGCUGCGGUGCCCUGUGCGACUUCACACCAGCAGACACAACACUCUCGGAGCCCUUGGUGUGGCCCGGGACCUGCAGGUGGGAAGGGCAAGCCUGUCCUCAGAAUAUGCGGCUUUCCCAGGAUCCAAGCAGGAUCCAGGCAGCCCAGUUGAGGUUAAUUUGUUGCCAAGUUACCUAGUCAGUCUCUUUGGGGGCGUGGCGCCAUACCCGAGGCUCAGUGCUGGCGUCUGCUGGACCUUCAGCAGUGCCAUUCGUGGACCUGAUACCUCUUCUCUUUACAUUCGAAUUGAAUCACCGGUAGCAAAAUCAGUUUGAUUCUCUCUUUCUCUCUCUCAUCACUAACGAUGGAAAGCCAGUUGCCAUGUUUUGAGGCAACCCUGUGGAAAAAUCCAGCUGGCAAGUGAUUGAAUCCUGCCGACAACCACAAGUAUGGCCUGUGGAGUGGAUCUCAGCUCUACCACCAGUCAAGCUGUUGGAUGAGACUACAACCCUAGAUGAAAAAUACUGCAGAGUGGAGAGUCAGUGGUUUACCCUCCUAGUGUCCACCCUCCAGCCAGAACCCUGGUUCUCAGACUUCCAACUCAGGGAAUUUGCUACUCGGUUGCCACACCUAAGGGGUGAACAGCAGGAAAGGAAGACCGGACCGGAAACUGACUGGAGGGAACACAUGGCCACUGGCCUCGGGAUUCUGUUGGGGUCUAAGCCUGCUUUUGCCCUCUGUCUGUUGGAAAGGGCAUUUCCUUCUCUCCCUCUCCCCACCUCCAUUCUUACUAACCUGUAGGCUAAAUGCAUAAUCAUCUUUAAUCAACAACCCAUUUAACAUUUUGACACUUGUUAGCUCAUUUAACAAAUGUCACUGCAUUCUGUAUUUACAGUAGCAUCACAUUCUUUAAAGAAAUCCAGGGAUCCCUGGGUGGUGCAGCGGUUUGGUGCCUGUCUUUGGCCCAGGGUGCAAUCCUGGAGACGCAGGAUCGAGUCCCACAUCGGGC